AGAGAAAAAACGAUCGGAAAGGGAACGGCCCGGCAGAAUCGUGCCGCAAGCCAGCGCUGACGCCGCCUUCCGCCGUCCGGCGACCGCCGUCCGCGAAACGAAGUCGCGUCAUCUUCAAGCUUCAUCGCCGGCAUCGCCAAUUUCUCGCCCGAAGCCUUCGCCGCCGCUCUCCACCCGGACGCAAGACCCAGCGCCGCCGCCGGCAUCACCGGAUCGAAGAGCAAAACGCGAAACGAAGCCCAAAAACGGAGAUACAACAGUGUUUUGUGUUAUGCACUGCCACUCUGCCUUAGUUGACUUGAAUGUUUGACUUUGGUUCGGUUAUUUCGUAACCGACCGAAACCGACCGUCGGUUAUAGACCUACCUUCGGUCGAUUACAAAGGUAAAAAUUCACGGUCGGUUAAUCGUUAUUCGGUCGGCGACCGUUUGCACCCGUAGCCACAAUUACAAAUACCCAUUUGGCGGGAAAUACUGAAUAAUAAUGGAAGCAUAACCCCAAAUUCAAAAUUCGAACUUCAGUCAGUUCAGUGUAUCAAAGCUCUCAGCAGUCAACAUUUUGAAAAGAACGAAGAAAAUCGUGCGAAA